UGAAGUCAAUGAUGAUGUUUGUUAUCCCUGUCUUAAAUACCAUGUGGAUUCGUUACAACUGAGACUUCA